AGGAAGAACCGGUAGGAGGAAUAACAGACAUUCUUUUGGCCACUCCCUAUCACUCCCAAACCCUGAACUCUGGAGUGUUUACCCAAAGCAUGAUUUUUGGGUCAGAAGAGAAGUGUGAACAGGAACCGGAGGGAAACAGAGUGGAGAGGUAAUUAGCCAAGCCAGGACCAUAUGUGGAGAGGAGAGAACCCCAGGAAAGUUAACUUUGAGAACCGUACUUCUUCAUUCAACAGCUAUUUUCCAAACCCUACUAUAUAUACCAGGGCAAAAUAAACUGUCAACUAGAAUGAAGUUUCUUGCCUUCCCUACACAACCUUUGCCUCAUUUCUCUGCCAAACAUCUCUUAACUGCAGGGAAGGUCCCUGGAGACUCCAAUGGUGCUGCAACCCUGCACAAUUUGCUUUGGAAGAAAACUAUGGCAAAACACAGGUCCCUUCAUUUUAGGAGUGGAAGGUGCUCUACAUCAAAUGCAGAAGAGUAGGAAGAUUGCCUUAGAGAUCCGGGCUUUUGAACUUCCUCUCCGGAGAGCUGGCCUUGCUAACCUCCAAAGAGCCUGUUUAUAGAUUGUUCGCUCAGCAAGGAAAUAUGCUCUUCGGGACAGAAAGGAUACCCUGCAGUCACCAGCCCAAUAAAAUCAACUUAACUAACAUAAAUUGUUAAAGAACUCAUUGGAGAGGUGACGGGGUGUGACAGGAAAAGCCCUUAACUAGAAGUUACAAGGUGGGAACUGUACUCCCAGGGCUGAAACGUAAUAACCAUGUGACU